rnacentral:rRNA from 1 species
UGGAUCCAGACUUUGAUCCUGGCUCAGGACGAACGCUGGCGGCGUGCUUAACACAUGCAAGUCGAACGAGAAUCUAAUGACGGAGUUUUCGGACAACUGAUUUAGAGGACAGUGGCGGACUGGUGAGUAACGCGUGAGGAACCUGCCUUUCAGAGGGGGACAACAGUUGGAAACGACUGCUAAUACCGCAUGACGCAUUUUGAUCGCAUGGUCGAAAUGCCAAAGAUUUAUCGCUGAAAGAUGGCCUCGCGUCUGAUUAGCUAGUUGGUGAGGUAACGGCCCACCAAGGCGACGAUCAGUAGCCGGACUGAGAGGUUGACCGGCCACAUUGGGACUGAGAUACGGCCCAGACUCCUACGGGAGGCAGCAGUGGGGAAUAUUGGGCAAUGGGCGCAAGCCUGACCCAGCAACGCCGCGUGAAGGAAGAAGGCUUUCGGGUUGUAAACUUCUUUUAAGUGGGAAGAGCAGAAGACGGUACCACUUGAAUAAGCCACGGCUAACUACGUGCCAGCAGCCGCGGUAAUACGUAGGUGGCAAGCGUUGUCCGGAUUUACUGGGUGUAAAGGGCGUGCAGCCGGGCAUGCAAGUCAGAUGUG